CAGCGCCGCGGUAAUACGAAGGGGGCUAGCGUUGCUCGGAAUGACUGGGCGUAAAGGGCGCGUAGGCGGAUUGUUUAGUUAGGCGUGAAAUUCCUGGGCUUAACCUGGGGACUGCGCUUAAUACAGGCAGUCUAGAGUGAGGAAGAGGGUUGUGGAAUUCCCAGUGUAGAGGUGAAAUUCGUAGAUAUUGGGAAGAACACCGGUGGCGAAGGCGGCAACCUGGUCCUUGACUGACGCUGAGGCGCGAAAGCGUGGGGAGCAAACAGGAUUAGAUACCCCGGUAGUCCCUGUCUCUUAUACA
rnacentral:rRNA from 1 species